rnacentral:rRNA from 1 species
GCCAGCCCGCUCAGAAACUCAAAGGAAUUGACGGGGGCCGCACAAGCGGGGAGCAUGUGGUUUAAUUCGAUGAUACGCGAGGAACCUUACCUGGGCUCGAACGUAAGAUGACUGUAGGUGAAAGCUUACAUCUCUUCGGAGCAUUUUACGAGGUGCUGCAUGGUUGUCGUCAGCUCGUGCCGUGAGGUGUCGGGUUAAGUCCCAUAACGAGCGCAACCCUACCUUUAGUUGCCAUCAGGUAAUGCUGGGGACUCUAAAGGAACUGCCUACGCAAGUAGUGAGGAAGGCGGGGAUGACGUCAAAUCAGCACGGCCCUUACGUCCAGGGCUACACACGUGCUACAAUGGCCGAUACAGAGGGCAGCUACCUGGUGACAGGAUGCAAAUCUCCAAAGUCGGUCUCAGUUCGGAUCGGAGUCUGCAACCCGACUCCGUGAAGUUGGAUUCGCUAGUAAUCGCGCAUCAGCCAUGGCGCGGUGAAUACGUUCCCGGGCCUU